rnacentral:lncRNA from 1 species
AAGCACACCACAAGGUAACUGAAAGUUGGGCACACUGACAAGUGUCGCCUUUUAUGAAAGUGCCUGGAAGGACCCGGAAGGACCCUUUCCUCAGAGGUCAGCUCCAUGGAGGUACCACGGUGGCAGAUGCUCCACUUAAGCUGGGAAAAUCGUCAUGUCUUCAAGCACCUUUGGCUCUCCUGUCAUUCAUUCGGGAAAGGGAUUCCUGGUGUGUCCCCACCAGCAUCCGAGUUAGGACGGAUGGCCGUUUCUCGUCUUUGCUCCUCUCUUGGGGCCAGUUGCCCAUCCAUCUCCUGAUUCUUUCCUCCUUGGGAAAGCACCAGGAAGGCAACAGGUCCAGUCCGAGGCAUUGCUGCAGCGUGAGACAAUGAGCUUGGACUUCGCUUCUCUACGUAUUACUUUAGCUCAAUGAAAUCCUAGUCCUCCUGGUUGACUUUGAGAAAGACAAAUGGGCAGCUGCCGUCUGAAGCAGAUGAUGACCGAGCCAAGCUUGGAGCCAGCAGGCUUUCCCUUAGCUGAGACCCCAGGGAGAUGCUCAAGGCUCUUCCUGCACCAGCCACCGCGAUCGCUUUCUAGUGCAACUUGAGCCCUGGUCUGGUGCACAGCUGAGCACUUCUGGUCCUCAAGGUGAGUCCUGACUUAACCCUGUGACAAUCCAAUAUUAAUGUGCCUGCUGUGAUUAAAACAUCAACAGCCAAUAUGACAAAUGAAAGGGAAAUCUAAAAGUGGAUGUAAGAUGAAGUAUCCAUUCUCUGUGUCAUUAAAGCAGGGUCACUUUCAUGAGGAAGGCCCACUUGCUUGUUUUUAAAUAAUGCAGUAACUUCUUAUUUUAAGUGAUCCUUUCUCCUGUGACUGCUUCUUGAAUCUACUGGGACUCCACAGACCUUCAUAGGUUUUGCUGACUCUGCAUUCUGGCUAUCAUUUAUUGACUGUCUCCUCAUGUGACAAGCGUUUGACAUUUAUUAUUAAAUAUAUCACCACCACAGGUAGGCAAUAUCAUUCCCAUUUUUAAAGAUAAUGCAAUGAAGGCUCAGAGAAGUUGAUUAACUUUCUCAUAAUAACACAGCUAAUAAAUGGGCUCUGAACUUAGGGUGGUGAAGGCUG